rnacentral:tRNA from 1 species
GCCUGGGUGGCUCAGUCGGUUAAGUGUCUGACUUCAGCUCAGGUCAUGAUCUCGCGGUUUGUGGGUUCGAGCCCCGUGUCGGGCU